rnacentral:rRNA from 1 species
CCUACGGGCGGCAGCAGUCGAGAAUCAUUCACAAUGGGGGAAACCCUGAUGGUGCGACGCCGCGUGGGGGAUUGAAGGUCUUCGGUUUGUAAACUCUUGUCUUGUGGGAGCAAAUUAAAAAGAUAGUACCACAAGAGGAAGAGACGGCUAACUCUGUGCCAGCAGCCGCGGUAAUACAGAGGUCUCAAGCGUUGUUCGGAAUCACGGGGCGUAAAGCGUGCGUAGGCUGUUUCGUAAGUCGUGUGUGAAAGGCGCGGGCUCAACCCGCGGACGGCACAUGAUACUGCGAGACUAGAGUAAUGGAGGGGGAACCGGAAUUCUCGGUGUAGCAGUGAAAUGCGUAGAUAUCGGGAGGAACACUCGUGGCGAAGGCGGGUUCAUGGACAUUAACUGACGCUGAGGCACGAAGGCCAGGGGAGCGAAAGGGAUUAGAUACCCUAGUAGUC